CUGAGUCACAAUGUAGAAUGUGCCAAAGAAUUGUCCCACUGAAGGGACAUGAACAUGCGAUAUUUAUCCGGGGACUCCUGUUCUUCACUCUUAACUGCCUCGCAAUUUGUACCCGUCCAAUGUCCAGGCUGAACAUACUCCUAGAAGAGGCUCCUGCAUCACAGAGCUGAUUUUCCUAGCAGAGGGACCCAGACUAAGAAGGUGUUCGCAGGCUCACCUUCUAAACCUAGAACGAGGACAGUUAUCCCUUCUCUUGUUGCAUCUCUGAAGUUCUUCAGUUACUCAAUUUGUGGACUUAGAAUAGCACAUCGUCCAGCCACAUUUAUUCUAAACAGAUGGUCUGGACCCAGAGAGAUGGCAGCCAAUGAUCUUAACCACUGUGCUCACAGCUUAUCUUUUCAUGGAAAGGUGAAGAGAUGUCAAGUGCAACCAUCCCACCAAGUACGCGCACACACGGCCCAUUUGUUUAAUCAAACUGGAAAUUACAGGAUAAUGUAUUAUGUUCACUUAUUUUAAGUCACAAUUGAUAUUGAAAAUAAAUACUGAAAUGGCAAGUUAUAUAAAUGGCAAAGUGCUUUUAUUGUGGGUAUUGGCUCCAGUUUGGUGAGUGGUGAGAGAUUAACAUAGAGUUCACU
rnacentral:lncRNA from 1 species